AUACAGAGGGUGCAAGCGUUAAUCGGAUUUACUGGGCGUAAAGCGCGCGUAGGUGGCUAAUUAAGUCAAAUGUGAAAUCCCCGAGCUUAACUUGGGAAUUGCAUUCGAUACUGGUUAGCUAGAGUAUGGGAGAGGAUGGUAGAAUUCCAGGUGUAGCGGUGAAAUGCGUAGAGAUCUGGAGGAAUACCGAUGGCGAAGGCAGCCAUCUGGCCUAAUACUAACACUGAGGUGCGAAAGCAUGGGGAGCAAACAGGAUUAGAUACCCUGGUAGUCCAUGCCGUAAACGAUGUCUACUAGCCGUUGGGGCCCUUGAGGCUUUAGUGGCGCAGCUAACGCGAUAAGUAGACCGCCUGGGGAGUACGGUCGCAAGACUAAAACUCAAAGGAAUUGACGGGG
rnacentral:rRNA from 1 species